AUACAAGCGAUGAAAAGAUGAGUAGAUAACUUAGUAGCAUUUUAAGAGAGUCCGGUCAGGUGCAAGCGGAUAAUGUGAACAAUUUUCGAAUAUGGUCUUUGAGCAAAUUCAUUUGGUAAGGUUUAACUGAGCCGAGUGCGGGGGUUGCCCGAUAUAGCGAACGAGUAUCGAUCCUGGUACUUUGUAAGGCGAUUAUUGUGAAGUAGUCGUGAAAUUAAGGUGGUAACACGCAAAUUGGCGUCCUUUCU
rfam:Lactobacillus sakei strain 23K complete genome.